GCCAGUGUGGUGUAGUGGUCUGAGCAUUGGACUACAGCUCUGAAGACCAGGGUUCAAAUGCCCACUUGGCCA